GGGGCAGCCGGCUGCUCAGGGGGAAGGCAUGUUUUCCUGCCUGAAUUUUGGGAAAUCACACAGAAAAGACGCAUCCGAGCCUGGCAUUGUAGCUCUGCCAAGUCCUCCCCUGACAGACGUGUUCUGAUCAGAGCUGUUUGUCCCACAGGAAAAGAAUCAGCUUUCUAUCAAGUGGACUCUGGGCACCGCCCCAGAGAGCUCAAGCUCCCAAGGACCUGGAGACUGACCCAGUCAUGCCAGCUGAGGCCCAGCCAGGCUAAAUCCCCCGAUCCAGCGCUCCUGCGUCUACCCCUAGGAUCCCCAGACAACUGAGAGGGGCUAACAUGGAGUGUCCCCGCCUGGAUGGCAUCCCUGGAAAAGGCUGGAGUGUUUCUAAAGAGGCUGUUCAGACAUCACAUCACAGUCCCAGACGGCCGAGAGGUUCUUGCACUCACUUGGCUGCCCUCCCUGGGAAAUGCUUUGGAUCAGACAGCACUUCUGGGUUGUUUUUGCCUGAGGAAAGUGAGCUGUGUGAAUACCAAGAACCUUUCCUCAAAGCGCCUGGCUCCUGAAUCAGAAUCCUUUAUGUGGGAAGGAUUUGUGAGGAAGUGCUUCAUGACCAGGUGGUCACAAGAAAGCGGAGAUUUCCAUGUGAGGUCAUCUUGGCAAGAAGCUCCCUCACCAUCCUUGACUUCCGGGUCUCCAGGGCAACCACUGCUGGGGUGUCAUAGGCACCAGAGCGUGUCCCUUGAAGUCCACGCUGGGCAGAUAAGCAAUUUUUUGGCAACUGUCAUGUAACAAAUUCAUUCUCAAAUGA